rnacentral:rRNA from 1 species
ACGGAGGGUGCAAGCGUUGUUCGGAAUCACUGGGCGUAAAGGGCGCGCAGGCGGUUUGGUAAGUCAGAUGUGAAAGCCCACGGCUUAACCGUGGAAGUGCAUUUGAAACUGCCAGACUUGAGUAUCAGAGGGGAAAGUGGAAUUCCCGGUGUAGAGGUGAAAUUCGGAGAUAUCGGGAGGAAUACCGGUGGCGAAGGCGACUUUCGGGAUGAAUACUGACGGUGAGGCGCGAAAGCGUGGGGAGCAAAAAG